rnacentral:rRNA from 1 species
UCUAAACGGAUGCGGUAACUCUGACUGUACUUAAGUAGCAUAAUUAGUUGUCACUUAAUUGGUGGAGAGAAUGAAUGGUAAUACGAGCAUUUCAUUGUCUUAAUCUAAAAGUUUUUAAAAUUGAAAUAAUAGUGAAGAUGCUAUUAAAAAUCGUAAGACGAAAAGACCCUAUAGAGCUUUACUAUAACUUUAUAAUAAUUAUAAAUAAGAUUUUUAAUAUUAUUUUUAAGGUUGGUAGUUUAGUUGGGGCGACUGUCUUUUAUAAUUAACAAAGAUAAAGCAAAUAUUAAUAUAAUUAAUUUAUUGGAUAAUUUAUAAAUUUAACCAUUAUGAAAAUAGGCUAUAAUGACCCGUUAGAUUAAUUAAAAAUAUUUAACGACCUACAUUGAAUAAUAGCUUCCUUAGGGAUCACAGGA